AAUCAACGCUGGCGGCGUGCCUAACACAUGCAAGUCGCACGAGAAAGAGGGGGCAACCCCUUGAGUAAAGUGGCGUACGGGUGAGUAACACGUGACUAACCUACCUCCGAAUGGGGAAUAACCUCGGGAAACCGGGGCUAAUACCGCAUAACAUCUACGGAUCAAAGCAGCAAUGCGUUUGGAGAGGGGGUCGCGGCUGAUUAGCUAGUUGGUGGGGUAAUGGCCUACCAAGGCGACGAUCAGUAUCCGGCCUGAGAGGGCGCACGGACACACUGGAACUGAAACACGGUCCAGACUCCUACGGGAGGCAGCAGUGGGGAAUUUUGCGCAAUGGGGGAAACCCUGACGCAGCAACGCCGCGUGGAGGAUGAAGGUCUUUGGAUUGUAAACUCCUUUCGAUCGGGACGAUUAUGACGGUACCGGAAGAAGAAGCACCGGCUAACUCUGUGCCAGCCGCCGCAGUAAG
rnacentral:rRNA from 1 species